rnacentral:rRNA from 1 species
UACGUAGGAUGCAAGCGUUGUCCGGAAUUAUUGGGCGUAAAGGGUGCGCAGGCGGUUUUUCAAGUCCGAUGUGAAAUCUCCCGGCUUAACUGGGAGGGGCCAUUUGAAACUGGAGGACUAGAGUGCAGGAGAGGAUAGCGGAAUUCCCGGUGUAGUGGUGAAAUGCGUAGAUAUCGGGAGGAACACCAGUGGCGAAGGCGGCUAUCUGGCCUGCAACUGACGCUGAGGCACGAAGGCUAGGGGAGCGAACAGG